rnacentral:rRNA from 1 species
UACGUAGGGUGCAAGCGUUGUCCGGAAUUAUUGGGCGUAAAGAGCUCGUAGGCGGUCUGUCGCGUCUGCUGUGAAAACUCGGGGCUUAACCCCGGGCCUGCAGUGGGUACGGGCAGGCUAGAGUUCGGUAGGGGAGACUGGAAUUCCUGGUGUAGCGGUGAAAUGCGCAGAUAUCAGGAGGAACACCGAUGGCGAAGGCAGGUCUCUGGGCCGAUACUGACGCUGAGGAGCGAAAGCGUGGGGAGCGAACAGG